CCAAAGUAUAGUAAGUAUGGUUGUUUAAUUGGGGGUUGUGUAGUGUAAUAUAUCUCCUGGUUCUAGAAUGUGUUUAUUGAUUAUUAUUAACAAUUAUUAUUUAUAUAAUGGUGUUAAUAUUGAACUAUCUGCUUUAAUUUUAGCACAGACUGAGUAUUGUCCAGCCUUCCUUCUCCACUUGUGUUGGAGUGUAGCAUUCUACAAUUUAGUGGAACUGGGCCUUGUUGCCUGUGAGCCACUGUUUUCCUCCUACCACGUUUUUAUUUAAUGAACACUGUGCAAUAUCUCUGAGCCAUCUUGUUUAGUUGAUUGUGUACUGACCAUUCAGCAGUUCUUUGUGAGCUCAGUAUUUUUACUUGUGUUUACUGUGUUUUAGAUAGACACGGUUUCUAAUAUCCCCUACUGGGCCUUAGGUAUGUAACUAAUAGUGGUAUUGGAUACUGACUCAUGGUGUUUUGUUAAUUUGGUGUACACCUGUAGCAUCCUUUAUUUGAUGUCAAAACUAGUUUUGUUUGUAGAGUGAUUUAUUUUGUUUGUGGUUGUUUUGGUUGCUAGUGUGCGUCAUAACACAGAUUUCUUUAUUUAUUUAUUUAUUAUUUUUUUCAUUUGAGGUGAAUGAUUUGUUUUCAAUAACUGAAGUGUUGCAGGUGUUACACUCUUUUGUUUAUUUUCUUUUUGUUGUCAGGGUCAGUAAUAACAUUAUUCCCUCCAUUUUUGGAGUUUUUGGUUGAUGUAACCAUAAUUGCUGCUAUUGUUUAACUGAAAGUGCCAGAAUUUCUCUUUUUAUGAAGCCUUUGUCUGUAUUAUUAUAAUUGCUGUUAUUAGCUAACUGAAAGGGCCUUAAAGUAUUUUAUGCUUGUGUCCUGCUGAUUUUAUACAAUAAAUGAUAUAUUUUUGUUAAUCAGC